GUUGCGACCGCCUUGCUCUUGCUUCGACAGUGACAAGAAUAAUAAUAAUCAGCUGGCCGCUGGAUAGAUGAUAUACUUGGUAAAUACAGCAAAGCAAAGCAUAUUAGAGCCACCUCAGUCAGCCUUAGGCCGUGCUGAAAAAAGAUGUGUGUGUGCGUGUCUGUUUGUAGAUAUGUACUGUCAGAAGAAUGUUGUUUCUUCUGUUAACAUGUUACCUAUGGUGUCUUUUUGGUCGUAGAAGGAUGAUCACCAUUUGUUGAUGUUGGUAUCGGUCUCUUGUUAUGUCACAUUGACUCAGUUUUUGGGUCCAAGAUAUGUAGCCUUGGUCGGUUAAAUGCAAGUAUUGCAACAAUCAUUGUUUUUAAUGUGAUGAUUCUAGUUAUGCUGUUUG
rnacentral:lncRNA from 1 species